UAAUCAUACUAGAACGAUAACAACGUACGAUUCAAUGAUGAAAUUUUUUCGGUUGUAAACGAAAUUUCGAUGAUUUAACUAUAAAUAUUCGGGAGAAAAUCCGUUAGGGUAUCAGAUGUUCAAGUGAACUUGGAAGUUUCGUUUGGUGAAUCGAAAAGAAGACUAAGCACUAAUAAUGUCGAAAGUACUAUUUAUUCUCAUCGCUCUUUGCAUAAUUGCUACUAUAAUUAUGCCCCAAAUUGUCGAAGGAGCCCACCGAAAAUGCAAGGGAUCCGGCGCUCCGUGCAUGUAUUCCAUGGAGUGCUGUUCAAGAAUCUGCAUGAAAGCAGCCAAACCAUACAAAACUCUGUGUCGUUAAAAUCAUCUUACAAUUACGAUCUUCAUCGUUUAUCAUUGAUUAAUCAGUAUUUAAUUAAUUCAAUUAUUAAUUUAUAUAACUAAGAGAAUAAGGAAA